GACGUAGGGCGCGAGCGUUGUCCGGAUUUAUUGGGCGUAAAGAGCUCGUAGGCGGCUUGUCGCGUCGACUGUGAAAACCCACGGCUCAACUGUGGGCUUGCAGUCGAUACGGGCAGGCUAGAGUUCGGUAGGGGAGACUGGAAUUCCUGGUGUAGCGGUGAAAUGCGCAGAUAUCAGGAGGAACACCGGUGGCGAAGGCGGGUCUCUGGGCCGAUACUGACGCUGACACGCGAAAGCUAGGGGAGCGAACGGGG
rnacentral:rRNA from 1 species